rnacentral:rRNA from 1 species
AUGGCCAGACAGAUGACAUGGCACAAAACGGGCAAAAGAACCGAACUAGAUGCAGAUGGGAAUCUGAUGAUCGUACACACAUCGGAUGGUGUUGCGUGGAAAAAGUUUGAUGAAUUACAUGCUGACAAAGCGGCAGAUUCGAGGCAUCCUCGAGUCGGCAUCAUCACGGAUGGGUUCAGUGUGUUUGGUCUGACGGCAGCCCAAUACAGUUGUUGGCCCGUAUUUGUCUUUCCACUCAAUCUCCCCCCCCGGACAGAUUAUGCAAAGAAAGAACAUUUUCCUGACGUUGAUAAUUCCAGGGCCCAACUAUCCGGGGGAAAAUAUGAAUGUGUACAUGCAGCCGCAUAA